ensembl:lncRNA PAXIP1-DT PAXIP1 divergent transcript
GGGGCGGCGCAUGCGCGCGGCGGAGGGGGGGGUGGGGCCUUGGGGCCGCGAGUGGGAGCGGGAGCGGUUCUGCGGCCUCCUCGGGCUUCUUGGCCCUGGGCGGAGUGGGAUUGGGUGUCCCGGCUGUUCGCAGUGGCCGCGAGUGCGGCCGGACCUGGAGUAGUACCUGAGCCGCUCUGGCCGAGCAAGGCGCGGGGCCCCGGUCUACACCGCGCUGGACCCGGCUAUGCCGUGACGGAAUUCCCGAGGCCGUAGCGCCACGCGAGACGCGCACUGGUGGCCUCCGCGGCGAGUCCUGGGGUCUCCGCAAGGCCUCAGUGCCCGAGCUGGGGACGUGCUGGGGGGAGGCCCGGCCCCGUCGCUGCCCGAGGCCCCGCUGUCCCGGCCGGACCGGCCUGGUCCCUGGCGUCCUGUCGGGUCCGCGCUGGAGGAGAGUCCCAGACAGCAGAGCCCGCGGUGCAGCUCCAGCCCCGGGAAGCCCCGCGCUCAACAGGUUAAUACUACACAGCGGCGAUUCUAAUGGUCACGCUUUUAUUUACAGCUCGCCUCCCUUCCGCCAAGAUUCACAGAACACGGCAGAGUGGCCUCGGGAUCACCUGCCCAAGACACCUGCACGACCGGAAGUUGGGAGAAGAAAUUAAGGCCAUGAUGAUGAACGCAGCCUUUCUCGUUUAUUUCCAAUCCCACAACAAACCGGAGUCCAGGAACUCAUGGGUGAUUAUCGGACUAUUACCUAGUCGUAAAACUGUGGAGCAUUGGUGUCUAAAGGAAUCUGAGACAGACCCGCAGUGUCUCCCCCACAUGCCUUAAGUCACUUCUGCCAAGCAGAAAAUCAUUUUUAAGUAAAUGUUAGUGAAAUUGGUUUUAAAAAAGAGAAGGGGCCGGGCGCGGUGGCUCACGCCUGUAAUCCUAUCCUUUAGGAGGCCGAGGUGGGCGGAUUGCCUGAGUUCAGGAGUUCGAGACCAGCCUGGGCGACACGGUGAAACCCCGUCCCUACUAAAAUACAAAAAAUUAGCCGGGCGUGGCGGCACGCGCCUGUAGUCCCAGCUACUCAGGAGGCUGAGGCAGGAGAAUGGCUUGAACUCGGGUGGGGGAGGUUGCAAUGAGCCGAGAUCGCGCCGCUGCACUCCAGCCUGGGCGACAGAGCGAGACUCUGUCUCUGAAAAAAAACAAAACAAAACGAGAAGGCUUUCAAAAUUACUCUGCGGUACACUAAUUUAACAGAUUAGAUCACUUUCCAGGCUUUAAGUUGGCCUUUGUUCUACCCUUUUUUUAGUGUAUGAUAAAAGUUGUGUUGGUUCGUUGAUCAGCAUGCAAUGAACUCUGGCUCUUGUUAAUCAGGUGACUACAGUUUUGUCCUUACAUUUGUAUGUAUGUCAUGAGUGGUUUUGUAUGGGCAGGAGGUAAACAACGCACAUUUAAAUAUACUUAAUGAUUUAUCAUUCCAAUGUUUUCUGGUUGUUUUAGUCUUUCAUUUGUCUCUUGAACAAUCUGAAACAUCCCUAUUCUAAGGCUAAAAAAUUUCCUUUACAAACUUAGGUUAAACAUUCCUAAUCUGAAAUCCAAAAUGCUCUAAAAUUCGAAUUUUUUUGAGUACUGACGUGACCCCACAAAUGGAAAAUUCCACACUUGCCCUCAUGUGACACUGGGUGACAGUCAAGUCACAAUCAAGCCUGGUGUGGUGGGCACCUGUAGUGCCAGCUACUCGGGAGGUUGAGCAGGAGGAUUGCUUGAGCCCAGGAGUUUGAGUCCAGCCUGGACGAUAUAGCCAGACCCUGUCUGUAAAAAAACAAAAACCAAAACAAAAAAAACAAUGAAAACAUUUUUUUUUAAAACGCCAUCAAAACUUUGUUUCAUGCACAAAAUUAUUUAAAAUAUAUAAUAUAACCUUACCUUCAGGCUAUGUGGGUAAGGUAAGGUGUAUGUGAAACAAAUGAAUUUCCCAUUUAGACUUGGGUCCCAUCCCCAAGAUAUCUUAUUAUGUAUAUGCAAAUAUUCCAAAUCAAAAAUAUCUGAAAUACUUUUGUCCCAAGCAUUUCAGAUAAAGGUUACUCAACCUGUAAUAAAAACACUCAGUGCUUGCCUGAAGGAAAAACCAAGAAUUUGUCAUCCAUCCUUAAAUUUUUAUGACACCCUUUGUAAUCAGGAAACCUUUUAAUACCUAAGAAUAUAUUUGAUAUAUUCUGGUAUAUGUUUAUCAUUCUGAUGUUUAAUGUUCUAUGUUGGGCAUAUAUCAGUGUAAUAAAUACAUUAGAUCCAAAUACAGAUCAUGCUGCCUUUUUA